UCCGGUGGCUAUAGCGAAAAGGUUACACCUGUUCCCAUCCCGAACACAGAAGUUAAGCUUUUCCGCGCCGAUGAUACUUGGUGGGCGACUGCCUGGGAAAGUAGGUCGUUGCCGGUU
rnacentral:rRNA from 1 species